rnacentral:rRNA from 1 species
AUUGAACGCUGGCGGCAGGCCUAACACAUGCAAGUCGAGCGAGCGGCGGACGGGUGAGUAAUGUCUGGGAAACUGCCUGAUGGAGGGGGAUAACUACUGGAAACGGUAGCUAAUACCGCAUACCAUCAGAUGUGCCCAGAUGGGAUUAGCUAGUCGGUGGGGUAACGGCUCACCUAGGCGACGAUCCCUAGCUGGUCUGAGAGGAUGACCAGCAACACGGGAACUGAGACACGGUCCAGACUCAGAAGGGAGGAAGGAGUGGGGAAUAUUGCACAAUGGGCGCAAGCCUGAUACAGCCAGGCGGCGUGUGUGAAGAAGGCCUACAAGUGGUAAAGCACUUUCAGCGGGGGGGCGUUACCCGCAGAAGAAGCACCGGCGAACUCCGUGCCAGCAGCAGCGGUAAUUC